GACAAGCAUCAAGAGACUGUUUAAAUACAGAACCAACCGAGCAGAUUAGCCAUUGCCACGGUGGUAAAAUAGAUGUGAGUUUAAGGCUUGAUUAUUCAUCUUUAAAUUAAAAUUUUAUGGCAAC
rnacentral:ncRNA from 2 species